CUGAUUGGCCAAAACGGCAUUUGGUGACGCCCCGUGCCGAUUUUAACCAAUCCAAUGCAAGCCACCUAAAUGGUGGGUUUAGCACUAUAGGGUCAGGAAUACAUGUUUGUGUUCCUGACCCCAUAGUGAUCCUUUAAGCUGAAGCAAGCAAGAUGAAAUUUUAGUGUAGAGGUUUGCCUUGACAUGGCAGGUGGGCUUCCAUCUAAUGGCCAUUGGAGUGAAACUAAAAACCACAAUUGACAUAAAUAUACAUAG